rnacentral:misc_RNA from 1 species
UCUCCGUUGGUGAACCAGCGGAGGGAUCAUUACAGAGUUUUCACAACUCCCAACCCUUGCGAACCGUACCCAUUCUGUUCUCGUUGCUUCCGGCGGGGGGGACGGUGGGGCCCGAAACGGCCUCCCCGCCCCGCCCGCCGGGAGCGGCGGGCCAUACGACCCUUUAUAUCUUAACCACCAGAAACCGUCUGAGAAAACAAACAAAAUAAUCAAAACUUUCAACAACGGAUCUCUUGGCUCUG